rnacentral:misc_RNA from 1 species
ACUGAAACUCUCUAUUUUCAGUUCAUUCAUUAUCCUGUGGUGCUCUCAUUUUCAGCUCUUUGUUUUAUUUAGUUCCACUCCCAUUGUCCAGGCUCAACCUCAUUUAAACUCGGGUAUUAUUUUGACCCGAUUGCAUUUUAGCGAAGCAUCCUUCGUUUCAAGGCGGACCUUAACCUUCCGGUUAUCAAACCUGCAGUUCUAUUAAGCUUUGUGAUUCAAUACUUAGUUUAAUAGAUUUGGCUCCCUACAGGUGAG